rnacentral:siRNA from 1 species
UCUCAAGGAACUUCAUUGCCA